AUUGAACGCUGGCGGCAGGCCUAACACAUGCAAGUCGAGCGGAGCGGCGGACGGGUGAGGAAUGCCUAGGAAUCUGCCUGGUAGUGCGGGAUAACGUCCGGAAACGGGCGCUAAUUCCGCAUACUAUCAGAUGAGUCUAGGUCGGAUUGGCUAGUUGGUGGGGUAUUGGCUUACCAAGGCGACGAUGCGUAACUGGUCUGAGAGGAUGAUCAGUCACACUGGAACUGAGAAACGGUCCAGACUCCGGCGGGAGGCAGCAGUGGGGAAUAUUAGACAAUGGGCGAAAGGCUGAUCCAGCCAUGCCGGGUGUGUGAAGAAGGACUUCGGAUUGUAAAGCACUUUAAGUUGGGAAGCGGUACCAACAGAGUAAGCAACGGCUAACUACGUGCCAGCAGCCGCGGUAAUAC
rnacentral:rRNA from 1 species